rnacentral:rRNA from 1 species
CCCUGCCAUUUGUACACACCGCCCGUCGCUCCUACCGAUUGAGUGUUCCGGUGAAUAAUUCGGACUGCAGCAGCGUGGGGACUCCUCAUGCUGCAGCGGAAAGUUUGGUGAACCUUAACACUUAGAGG